rnacentral:rRNA from 1 species
AACGAACGCUGGCGGCAUGCCUAACACAUGCAAGUCGAACGAACCCUUCGGGGUGAGUGGCGCACGGGUGCGUAACACGUGGGAACCUGCCCUUAGGUUCGGAAUAACAGCGAGAAAUUGCUGCUAAUACCGGAUAAUGUCUUCGGACCAAAGAUUUAUCGCCUUUGGAUGGGCCCGCGUAGGAUUAGCUAGUUGGUGAGGUUAAGGCUCACCAAGGCGACGAUCCUUAGCUGGUCUUAGAGGAUGAUCAGCCACACUGGGACUGAGACACGGCCCAGACUCCUACGGGAGGCAGCAGUGGGGAAUAUUGGACAAUGGGCGAAAGCCUGAUCCAGCAAUGCCGCGUGAGUGAUGAAGGCCUUAGGGUUGUAAAGCUCUUUUACUGGGGAUGAUAAUGACAGUACCCAGAGAAUAAGCCCCGGCUAACUCCGUGCCAGCCGCCGCAGUAA